CAAGCCGGAGGAAGGUGGGGAUGACGUCAAGUCAUCAUGCCCUUAUGCUUGGGCUGCACACGUGCUACAAUGGCCGGGUACAAUGGGCUGCGAUGGGGUGACCCGGAGCGAAUCCCACAAAACCGGCCCCAGUUCGGAUCGAAGGCUGCAACUCGCCUUCGUGAAGUCGGAGUUGCUAGUAAUCGCGGAUCAGCAUGCCGCGGUGAAUACGUUCCCGGGCCUU
rnacentral:rRNA from 1 species